rnacentral:lncRNA from 1 species
CUCAGACAUGCAACAGCGAUGCGAUGAAGCGGACCAAAAAGAAGCCACCAGCGUGACAGCAUAAAAGCAGUGGCCAUGGCUAUUAACCAUGAAGCUGGAGCCUGAUCAGCCAGUCUCUUCCAGUCAAACCAAGCUUCUCUGGUGCUACACUAAACGGACACUCAGAAUAUGUCAACCGAGCAUGAGAAAGCCCAACGGACUGCUUAACACUUGCUGUUCCAUCUGAGUAGGAGGUGGCAACAAAAGACCAAAUGCCAUGGAUGCAUUCAAUUUCACAUAUUGGAAUGCCUCUGAAGGCAAUGACACAGAAGUUGUGGAAGAGAGCGAAAGCGCCUACAAGACUGUGGAGGUGGUGUUCAUCGUGUUGGUG